UAAAACCAAAAACAUUGCAUAUACACCUCAUCUUCCCCAAUUUCUUAACCCUAAAUCCUAACCACCACAUCUUGAUCUCCAACAACACAAACUGUCACUUUGUUCAACAAGUCUUCUGCUAUGGCUACCAAUUCAUCUGUGAGAGAUAAAGAUGGGCCUAAUGCUACAGAGACUAGUUUGGAUAAGAUUAAACCGGCAAUUGGCAUCCAGGUCGGGUCGAAACCUCUUGCAGGGUCCUCUUCUUAAGCGAUCUAAAACAGUACUUCAUUGUUUGUUUCUAAUUUCUUAAUAUAAAUUGAAAUUAAUUUAAUUUUUAUUACAGAGUAUGUUUGAUUCGUUUAUUAAUUUGUGUAUGUGUAUUAAAUCUGGGAGAUGAUGAAUGACUGACAACGGGUAGUUAAUCAGUUGGUGGUGUUGGAGAUGAAGACCUUAUAGGGUUGGAAGUAAUGAUAUGGAUAUGUGACUUGUGAUUUGGGGUUUCAAGGAAAGAAGAUGGUUAACUGUAGUAGCAGUUGUAACCGGAAAAGGAAAACGGAUGUCAGUCGGAGUUGCAGCGGUGACCGGAGAAGGAGACGAUUAGCGACAGUGUUAAUUUUUUGCAUUUUGCUUCAUCUCAGAAUUGGUUAAUUGCGAUCCAAAAGAACGAUGACCGUUAAAAGAUUUUAAAACCA